GCACUAGGUGGGGAGUUAGCGGUGCCCUGUACCUAAGAUCCGCUAUAGUAGGACCGAAUGCUCGGCGAGGCUUGUCUAUGGAAGGUCUGACCAUGACAAGGGAUGUUGAUAUCAAGGUCUUGUGCAAUGUUUCGUCGUGAACCAUGUCAGGACUUGACCGUAGCAGCAUUAAGCGAAGUUGAAGCGUGUGCCACGAGGUUGCCUUGAAGGAGUAACCUAUCAUGAUAUCGC
rnacentral:SRP_RNA from 1 species